rnacentral:ncRNA from 1 species
GAUAACAGCGUAAUGAUUUUUGAGAGUUCUUAUCAAUAAAAUAGAUUGCGACCUCGAUGUUGAAUUAAAAUAUAUUUUAGGUGUAGGUGUUUAAAGUAUAAAGUCUGUUCGACUUUUAAUAUUUUACAUGAUUUGAGUUUAGACCGGCGUAAGCCAGGUC